rnacentral:tRNA from 1 species
CGAUAUCGUCCGCCGCGGGCAGGCGCUUCAGGUCCUUCAGGUGGAUCUGCUCGUCGCGGCUGAUGAUCACGUCCGGGUUCAGCAGCCCGGCGGGGUCGA